rnacentral:rRNA from 1 species
UCGGGUUGUAAAGCACUUUUGUCCGGAAAGAAAACUUCUGCCCUAAUACGGUGGGAGGAUGACGGUACCGGAAGAAUAAGCACCGGCUAACUACGUGCCAGCAGCGCGGUAAUCGUAGGGUGCGAGCGUUAAUCGGAAUUACUGGGCGUAAAGCGUGCGCAGGCGGUUCGUUAAGACAGAUGUGAAAUCCCCGGGCUUAACCUGGGAACUGCAUUUGUGACUGGCGAGCUAGAGUAUGGCAGAGGGGGGUAGAAUUCCACGUGUAGCAGUGAAAUGCGUAGAGAUGUGGAGGAAUACCGAUGGCGAAGGCAGCCCCCUGGGCCAAUACUGACGCUCAUGCACGAAAGCGUGGGGAGCAAACAGGAUUAGAUACCCUGGUAGUCCACGCCCUAAACGAUGUCAACUAGUUGUUGGGGAUUCAUUUCCUUAGUAACGUAGCUAACGCGUGAAGUUGACCGCCUGGGGAGUACGGUCGCAAGAUUAAAACUCAAAGGAAUUGACGGGGACCCGCACAAGCGGUGGAUGAUGGUGGAUUAAUUCGAUGCAACGCGAAAAACCUUACCUACCCUUGACAUGGUCGGAACCUGCUG